GCCCCCGAGGAGCGUUGCAACGGGCCAUACGCGCCCGCCAGGCUCGGGGUGUCAACCGCAACGGCGCUCACGAGCU
rnacentral:ncRNA from 2 species